GACAAACGCUGGCGGCGUGCUUAACACAUGCAAGUCGAACCAUGAACCUUGGUGCUUGCCCUGGGUGGAUUAUUGGCGAACGGGGGAUUAACACCUGAGUAACCCCCCCUUUACUUCGGAAUAAUCUUGGAAAACUGGGUCUAAUACCGGAUAUUCUGCGAGGUCGGAUGGCUGUUGAUGAAAGGGUGUUUUUGAAUGGAUGGCCUCACGACCUGUCAUUUUGUUGGCGGGGUGAUGACCUACCAGACCACCACGGGUACCCUGCCUGACAGAGCCGACAGAGCGCGAUGGGACUGACACACGGCCGAGACUCCGACCGGACUCCUACUGGAGGAUACUGCCGGUGAUCUACAGCCUGGGACGGAACUCUGCCUGAGCGACGACGCGUGAGUGAUGAAGGCCUUUCGGAUCAUGGAGCACUGUUGUAAGACGACACCGCGUGUGAGAGCGGACAGUUCACACUGUGACAGUCUCUUACCACAAAGGGAAGGACUAACUACGUGCCAUCUUCCGCGGUAAUACCUAGGUCCCGAGUGUCGCCCGGAUUUAGUGAGCGUACCGCUAGCGCCGGGAGGUUAGAUAGGUCCGAGCUUACUGGAUGUGGCUUAACCAUGCUGACGCUUUGGAAGCUGCUUAACUUGAGUGCAAGAGGGGAGAGUGAAAUUCCAUGGGUAACGGAGAAAUGUGUAGAUAUAUGGAGGAACACCGGUGGCGAAAGCGGCUCUCUGGCUUGUAACGCACGCUGAGGCUCGAAAGCGUGGGGAGCAAACAGGAUUAGAUACCCUGGUAGUCCACGCCGUAAACGAUGAGUGCUAGGUUUUAGACCCUUUCCGGGGUUUAGUGCCGCAGCUAACGCAUUAAGCACUCCGCGUGGAGAGUACGACCGCAAGGUUGAAACUCAAAGGAAUUGACGGGGGCCCGCACAAGCGGUGGAGCAUGUGGUUUAAUUCAAAGCAACGCGAAGAACCUUACCAGGUCUUGACAUCCCUCUGACCGCUCUAGAGAUAGAGUUUUCCUUCGGGACAGAGGUGACAGGUGGUGCAUGGUUGUCGUCAGCUCGUGUCGUGAGAUGUUGGGUUAAGUCCCGCAACGAGCGCAACCCCUAUUGUUAGUUGCCAUCAUUCAGUUGGGCACUCUAGCGAGACUGCCGGUGAUAAACCGGAGGAAGGUGGGGAUGACGUCAAAUCAUCAUGCCCCUUAUGUCCUGGGCUACACACGUGCUACAAUGGCUGGUACAACGCGUCGCAAGCCGGUGACGGCAAGGUAAUCUCUUAAAGCCAGUCUCAUUUGGGUUGGUAGGCAGCAAUUCACUUACAUGAAUUGGGGUUGGCUGGUAUUCGAGAUUCAGCACGCCGCGGUGAAUACGUUCCCGGGCCU
rnacentral:rRNA from 1 species